GACACGAAAAAAACACCAUCUAAUGCUUUCAAUUUGAAAGAAGUAAAGGGCCUUCAUGCAUAGAACUGAGUGGCGGGAUGCUUACUUACCAGGACAGUGCCUGAUGUGAUGCCCAAAAGAAAAGAGAAACUGAAGAGAUAAAAGUCUCAAAGGUGUCUGGACCUCCAGGAAGUGAAUACUCUCUGUUCCCAUCUCAACUAGAAAAUUGGACCUUUUAGAAUAGAGCAUCAGAGACAUACGUCUCCACCAAACACAUCAUCGGAUGCCUCCCCUGUAUUUCUAGUUCCCAACCUUUCAGAGUAGAUGGGCCCCAUCCCUUCAGUGUUUAGAGUUCUGAUAUUCCAGUUUGGCACUCUCAUGAUUGUUUUAUUGAUAUCAAUCUCUCAUCCUUUUUUUUUCCCCAUUCAGCUCAAUCGCUUACUAGAAAGCAAUAGGAAACUCGAAGACCAACUGCAGCGCUCUAUCUGGUUCCAGCAGCUACUGCUUACCUUAACAAUGGUCUUGCUUGCUUUUGUUGUUUCUUUCUUUUAUUCAUUAUACAUUUAAAGAAGUGCACCUGGUCAAAACCCUAAAAUUCCUUCAGACAUUUCUGGAGAAGGUAUACAGACCCCACCCAAACUUUCCACCUAACUACCAGAACUCCUACUAUACAUCUGGGCUUCCUACAAAGAUAAUGCAGUACAUAGAAGGGUGCCUAUCUUGAAAACAAGUUCUUUGGCUAGUUUGUUCAAGGUAUUGAUUAGGGACUAUAGCUAGUUAGGAAACUAAGUAAAGGUAUAUGCAUCGUAUAAAUUGAUAGCUUGAACGUAAUUUAUUUUUCUUUUUCAUUUGAAUGCUUUCAAAGCCAAGUUCUAUCAUGUAAAUACACGAGCUGAGCUGAAAAGUCUAAGUAAUAUGCUUCUUCGUUGUAGCCAAAAGAAAAUGUAGUCUGCUUUUUUUUAAAUUACAGAAUUACUAGCUGAGCUGGCUUAUUAGUUUUUCUAUACUAUGUAUGUAAAAUAUGUAUAUUGAAAAGGAAGCAUACUUAAACAGAGUAAUUUAUGUAAUCAUGACUUUGUAACUUUGAGAACUCCUUCCAGAUGAUAGUCAAAAUUCUUUUGGAAUGUAAAGCUAUUUAAUGCCAAACCUCCUUAGCCUUUGUUUCUCGGUGUCACUGAGCGGCCUGCCUCUUAGUAAUCCGGGCUCUUUAAUGAAUACUCUGUUUUGAUACAAUAUGAAAAGGUACUUGUGGUUGGAUCUUCUUUGAUUUCUCUUAUCAGUGCCCAGAAGGAACAUCUCCGAAAGAGCCCCCCCCUAGUCAGUUCUAUGCAGUUUCAUGCUGGUCCGGCUGUUUGGACACUGAGCCCUUUGCCUGGUUUAUUAUAAGGGCCUACUUGUCCAUUCUUCCAUCUUUGUCUUCAUUCCAGGGCAAAGGAGUCUCCUCUGUGGACCACAGAUUAUACCGCUUUCACCCUCAUUUUAAAAUGAAAGGCAUUAUGUAAUAUUUUUUGACUGUCUGGCUGUUUUAGAUGUCCAUUACUAUAAGUAGCCUUGGGUUCCAAAUGGUCCUUGUUAAAAUGGUUGGUGAGAAGGAAACGUUGGAAAGUAUUCGUGUGUGCAGAUAUAAAGCAAAGCAGAGAGGCUGAGAGAAUGGGAACUAUGACUCCCGAUGGCUUCUCUGGCCCACUCAAUACUCUGCCUUUGGUGUACUUAGACCCACUCAGAUGGCUCUUCAAUUCCUACACAAACGCACCUUGCAGAAGCAGAGGCUAAUGAAAGAGCUUUGUUAUCAUUAACAUGAUCAGUUUCUGUCACUUCGGUUCAAAUCUCUAUCUGCCUUUUUCAGAAGAAAAGUACUCUGCCUAGCAAAUGAAUAUUUAGCCAUGUUUGGAGAUUUAAUUUCCUCAGGAGUAGAGUCAGGAGCUCUCAGCUUGAGGAAGUUGAUUCCCAAACCAAGUUUGGAGGAGUGAUGUAAGCGAGCUCCUUAAAAUGUUGGCUGAGGAAAUAAAACCUUAAACGGACACUAGAGUGAUACUUUGUCUUAAUUUGGGUUUUUCUGUUUCAGUUUGCCACCUCCAGAUGUGAAACAGACUGCAGUCCACCCUAAGUGCUGUGCACAGUGUCUGUGUCCCUGUGUGUUCACAGUGACUUCCCAAGUGGUAGAUUUGGGGCCUUAAUAUAAUCUCAUCCCAAAGUAUCUGUCCAUGUUUUUGAUUCCUCAUCAGAUGAACAAGCAGUUAAUUAGCCAAGAUGAGGAGUACAAUUGUCCUAACAGUGUCCCUUUAACGUUUCAUAAGAAAAUCAUGUUGACACACUAAAUACCCUUCUUUGCUUGUUGUCUGGUCAGUUGAACUGAGUAACAUCUUGUUAGCAUUUCUGUGUGGUGAAUGUGACUAAAAAGGACUUUGGGAAAUUAACAUAAUGUCAACAGUAACUGAACUCUUCUGCUAAUCUUGAUUAAUCUAUAUUGUUACAUUUGAUUUUUGUCCUGUCUUUAUUUGGUUUAGUCUAAUCACAUGUGCAUGAUUAUUUUUGGUAUUCUGAUCAAUAAUUUUAUCUUUAAUCAUGUCAUUGCCUUUUCAUGAUCAAAUUACCAGGGAUUUUCAUUUCGAUUUUUGGUUUCACUCGGGAAUGGAAAUUAAUACAUUUUCCAUGAAAACAUUAAUAAAAGAUCAUUAGCUUGAUCUGCAACUAGCCGAAAAUGCAAAUGCUGGUAAACCUAGUCUCAAAUUUCAUAAAAUCAUAACUUUUAUAUCUUGCCACUAAUUUUGACUGGAUUUAAUAGCACUUUAUUGUACAAUUAUAAAAAAUAUAUUCCUAGAAUUGUUGCCAGUGUAAUUUCUCUAAUGUUCUGGUGCUUUUCAUAUAUUUUCAGUAUUUUUAUUACUAUAUUGGUAUUUUCUUUGUAUAAAUUGAUCAAAAGAACAUGUUUUCUAUUUUAAUAUGUUUUAGAAAAUAAUUACAUUUAUGAAAUAAAUAUCAUCAGGAAAAAAA
rnacentral:lncRNA from 1 species